UACGGAGGGUGCAAGCGUUAUCCGGAUUCACUGGGUUUAAAGGGUGCGUAGGUGGGUUUGUAAGUCAGUGGUAAAAUCUCCAAGCUUAACUUGGAAACUGCCGUUGAUACUAUAAAUCUUGAAUGUUGUGGAGGUGAGCGGAAUAUGUCAUGUAGCGGUGAAAUGCUUAGAUAUGACAUAGAACACCGAUAGCGGAGGCAGCUUGCUACACAGUCAUUGACACUGAGGCACGAAAGCGUGGGGAUCAAACAGG
rnacentral:rRNA from 1 species